rnacentral:rRNA from 1 species
AUUGAACGCUGGCGGCAGGCCUCACACAUGCAAGUCGAGCGAGCGGCGGACGGGUGAGUAAUGGCUGGGAAACUGACUGAUGGGGGGGGGUAACUACUGGAAACGGUAGCUAAAAACGCAUACUAUCAGAUGAGCCUAGGUCGGAUUAGAUAUUUGGUGGUGUAAAGGACUACCAAGGCGCCGAUCCGUAACUGGUCUGAGAGGAUGAUCAGUCACACUGGAACUGAGACACGGUCCAGACUCCUACGGGAGGCAGCAGUGGGUAAUAUUGGACAAGGGGCGAAAGCCUAAUCCAGCCAUGCCGCUUGUGUGAAGAAGGUCUUCGGGUUGUAAAGUACUUUCAGCGGGGAGGCGUUACCCGCAGAAGAAGCACCGGCUAACUCCGUGCCAGCAGCCGCGGUAAUAC